rnacentral:ncRNA from 2 species
UUGAAGAAUGACCUCCGAGCCAGAAUGACCUAAAGAGCAAUUCCAAGGUCACUGGACAGGAUCGCAGAUCCUCAGGGUAUUCCGGGAAACUGGUAUGCCUUCACAGUUUGAAGAGGAGUAGUUCGGGUUAGACU